GAUGAACGCUGGCGGCGUGCCUAAUACAUGCAAGUCGAGCGAACGGACGAGAAGCUUGCUUCUCUGAUGUUAGCGGCGGACGGGUGAGUAACACGUGGAUAACCUACCUAUAAGACUGGGCUAACUUCGGGCAACCGGAGCUAAUACCGGAUACUAUUUUGAACCGCAUGGUUCACAAGUGAAAGACGGUCUUGCUGUCACUUAUAGAUGGAUCCGCGCUGCAUUAGCUAGUUGGUAAGGUAACGGCUUACCAAGGCUACUAUUCAUAGCCGACCUGAGCGGGUGAUCGGCCACACUCUACCUGAGACACGGCCCAGCCGCCCACGGGAGGCAGCCGUGGGGAAUCGUGCGCAAUGCGCGAAAGCCUGACGGAGCAACGUCGCGCUAUGGAUGAACGGCUACGGAUCGUAAUACUCUGUUACUAGGGAACAACACAUCUGGAAGUAACUGUGACCAUCUUGCCGGUACACAACCAGAAAGCCACGGCUAACUUCGUG
rnacentral:rRNA from 1 species